rnacentral:piRNA from 1 species
UUCACGUAGAUGGCGGUCGCGGGUGAGC